rnacentral:miRNA from 9 species
UCUCGAUAGUAUAAAAGUUAACUCAAAUUUGUAUGGAGUUGAAACAGUUGCCUACGUUUGCCGCUAGGAACGCUGUUCCAACUGCAUACAAAUUUGAGUUAACUUUUACGCUGUCGA